rnacentral:rRNA from 1 species
UACAGAGGGUGCAAGCGUUGUCCGGAAUCACUGGGCGUAAAGGGCGCGUAGGUGGCCUGAUAAGUCGGGGGGUGAAAUUCUGCGGCUUAACCGCAGGACGGCCUUCGAGACUGUCGGGCUUGAGCACGGUAGAGGCAGGUGGAAUUCCCGGUGUAGCGGUGGAAUGCGUAGAGAUCGGGAAGAACAUCGGUGGCGAAGGCGGCAUCCUGGACCAACACUGACACUGAGGAGCGAAAGCCAGGGGAGCAAACGGG